rnacentral:rRNA from 1 species
GAUGAACGCUAGCGGCAGGCCUAACACAUGCAAGUCGAGGGAGAAGCCCUUUCGGGGGCAGAAACCGGCGCACGGGUGCGUAACGCGUAUGCAACCUACCUUUCACAGGGGGAUAGCCCGAAGAAAUUUGGAUUAAUACCCCAUAAUAUUAUUGGAUGGCAUCAUUUGAUAAUUAAAACUGCGGUGGUGAAAGAUGGGCAUGCGUCCUAUUAGCUAGUUGGAGUGGUAACGGCACCCCAAGGCUACGAUAGGUAGGGGUCCUGAGAGGGAGAUCCCCCACACUGGUACUGAGACAGGGACCAGACUCCUACGGGAGGCAGCAGUGAGGAAUAUUGGUCAAUGGUCGGAAGGCUGAACCAGCCAUGCCGCGUGCAGGAAGAAUGCCUUAUGGGUUGUAAACUGCUUUUAUAUGGGAAGAAUAAGGCGUACGUGUACGUUGAUGACGGUACCAUAUGAAUAAGCAUCGGCUAACUCCGUG